rnacentral:lncRNA from 1 species
GGAACAUUUUAAACAGUGAAAUAGAUUUGUGCAUUUAGAAGCAUUGCUUUGGUUAUACCAUAGGGGAUGGAUUGGUGAAGAUGAGAAGAGAGUUUGGGAGUAACAGAAAACCCUCAAGGUCUCAGAUGGGUGGCCUGACUAUAGUGUUGGCACUGAGAUUGAAAAGCAGAAAAAGUUAUUAGGACUAAUCUUUUGGCAUAUUUUACCUUAUAGAAUAGAGGUUGGCAAGUUUUUUGUAAAGAGCCAUAAUAUUUUUUAAAAGCCUAAAUAUUAGGGCUUUGAGGGCCAUUCUGCUUGUAUUGCAGCUAUUCACCUGUGUCUUGAGCGCAAAAGCAGCCAUAGACUGUAGGCAAACAAAUGAGUGUGGUUGUAUUCUAAUAAAGCUUUAUUUAUGAAAUCAGUUGGGGGUCUAGAUUUUGCUCACAGGCCCUUCUAGGCUAGCGUAUCCAGUGGUGAAGAUUAAUAGCUCAAGCAAUGGCUAGAGUAAGAUGAUAAUAUAGGUGAGGGAUUGUAGGGAUAAGAAGGAAAGAGGAGCAGGGGAGGAAAGAACCCUGAGGAACCAAAUCAUAUUAGGAGAAGAGGUGAAAAUGGUACUGAGGGAGUCUGUAGGAAGCUUAGCAGGAAAAUGGUGUAUAAGAACUUAGGGAGGAGAGUUUCCUGAAGGAGGGGCAGUAAUUGCAGUAUCAAAUGCUACAGAGAGGAGAGGCAUGAUGAGACCUUACAAUAAGCCAUUCAUUGUAUUUGCUCUUUGGGGGCCAGUGAGAAGGGAAAACUGAGGGUGGUGGAGGCUGGAAGCUAGAUCAUGAUGAGCUAAGGAGUGAGUUGGAGUUGAGCUAUUUAGACUAGUUAGAGCUUUGAUUUAAAUAUUUGGUAGUCAUGGGAAGGAGGAAUCACAGGUUAGCUUGAGGAAGACGUAGGGUGGAAAGAAGGCUGUUCGUUUGUUUUUUAUUUGUUAAGAAGGGUGGUGUUGACUAGGCUAAACUGAAGAAGCCAGAGCAAAAGAGACCUGAGGACUUGGUUAGAAAAGGAACAAACGACUGAGCCUAGAUAGAGUAAGUAGGGAGUUGUUGGGGAAGGGAAUAAGAAAUAUAAGAGAUGUGUGAGAUGUGGAGAGAUCUUGAAGCAGCCUCAGGUGGAAAGGACUUGAAGUACAGGCAGAAAUGAGGAUGGGCUGCAUUAGGGGUAGGGAAACUGGAACAAAUUAUACUUAGUGGCCUCUAUUUUCUUUGACAACGUUAACUAUAGAGAAUGAAGGGUCUAAGAGGUAAUACUUGAAGGAAAGGUGUUUCAGGGUAAGCAAAAUAGGAUUUAUAUAGGAAUGAAGGCCCAGCUGAGGUAAGUACUGUACUAGAUUGUUAUUUUGGUAACAGUAAUGAACAAUUUUCAGUUAAUUAUAUAAGAUUUAGCUAUGAAUGCAUUCUGGAUUUUAGUUAGAAUUGUUAAACCAAAUUCAAAGUGUGGAAGUCAUUCAGUUGAAUUGUUAAAAAAAAAAAAUGGAACUAGCAGGAACGUUGGAAUUUAAUGAGUCCAACUCCUUUUUCACAGAUGUGAAAAUUUAAGGCGUAGAAAAAUAAUGAAUGUUGUCCACUCAUCUAGUUGGUAACCAGGUUUUCUGAUUUCAGAAAAUCAAAAAUCACUUGUUUUUAAUUAUGUGUUUUAUCAUAACACACUUAACAAAAAUUCUGGCUGGGCACAGUGGCUCACACCUGUAAUCCCAGCACUUUGGAAGACAGAGGAGGGAGGAUUGCUUGAGACUAGGAGUUCAAGACCAGCCUAGGCAAUACAGUGAGACCUCAUCUCUACACAAAAUUUAAAAAGUAGGCAAGCAUGGUGGUUCACAACCGUAGUCCCAGCUUGGGAGGCUGAGGUGGGAGGAUCUCUUUAGUCCAUGAGGUGGAGGCCACAGUGAGCUGAGAUUGUACUGUCUCAGAAAAAACAACAACAAAAAAACAAAAGCUCUCUUUUAUAAAACUUUCAAACAUAUGUAAAAGUAGAGAGAAUAAUAUAUUGAACUCCCAUGUGGCAUUUUAAAACAAUUAUAAUUUAUGGUCGUUUGUGUAAUUUAUAUCUUGUUAAAAGAAAGUCCUUAGUCAAAUUAAAGAGUUCAACUGAGCAAAGAAUGAUUCGUGAAUAGGGCAGCCUCCUGAGCCACAGUAUGUUCAGAGAGACUCCAGCACAGCCAGGUGGUGGAAGAAGAUGUAUAGACAGAGGUACAGAAACAGUCAGAUUGGUUACAGCUCGGCAUUUGCCUUAUUUGAACAUGGUUUGAACAGUUGGCCCCUUUUAACUGGCCAAAACUUGGUGAUUGGCACAAAAGUAGGUUACAGUCUGUUUACACCUCCAUUUAGAUACAUUUAUAGUUCACUAUGUACAGAGAAACCUUUAGACUGAACUUCAAAUAUGUAAGGAGACUGCUUUAGACUAAACUUGAUUUAACAAUCUCUACCCACUUCUACUCUUCCCUGCAUUAUUUUGAAGCGUCAUCUAUCAGUAUUAUGUUUCAUCUGCCAAAAUUUUAACAUGUAUGCCUAAAAGGUAAGACAUAUGGUAGUUUCAGUGUUUUUUCUCCUUUUAAAACAUAAACCACAAUAUGGGUUAAUGUGGAUUAUGUGGGCUAAGCAGGUUGAUGUGGGUUAAUGUGGGUUAUGUGGGCUAAGCAGGUUGAUGUGGUUAAUUUUUAACUUCCAAAGAUGUUUAUAAGUUAUUAUGAGUAGACUUUUUGGAAUAAAGGUUUCCUCAUAUUGCAGUAUUUUGGAAAGUGAUUUUACUAAAAAAUAAUACGGGCCAGGCAUGUGGCUCAUGCCCGUAAUCUCAGCACUUUGAGAGGCCUAGGUGGGAGGACUGCUUGAAGCCAGGAGUUCUAGACCAGCCUGGGCAACAAAGUGAGACCCUACCUCUACAAAAAAUACAAAAAAAAAAAAAA